CCAACAGGGAUUGCCUUAGUAACGGCGAGUGAAGCGGCAACAGCUCAAAUUUGAAAGCUGGCUCCUUUGGAGUCCGCGUUGUAAUUUGUAGAGGAUGAUUCGGCAAGGGCUCCCGCCUAAGUCUCCUGGAACGGAGCGUCAUAGAGGGUGAGAAUCCCGUAUGCGGUGGGCUGCCUAAGCCAUGCGAAUCUCCUUCGACGAGUCGAGUUGUUUGGGAAUGCAGCUCUAAAUGGGAGGUAAAUUUCUUCUAAAGCUAAAUACCGGCCAGAGACCGAUAGCGCACAAGUAGAGUGAUNGAAAGAUGAAAAGCACUUUGGAAAGAGAGUUAAAAAGUACGUGAAAUUGUUGAAAGGGAAGCGCUUGCAGCCAGACUUGUCCGCAGUUGCUCAGCCGGUCUCCUGACCGGUGUACUCUUCUGCGGCCAGGCCAGCAUCAGUUCGGGCGGUCGGAUAAAGACCUCGGGAAUGUAGCUCCUCUCGGGGAGUGUUAUAGCCCGGGGUGGAAUGCGGCCAGCCUGGACUGAGGAUCUCGCUUCGGCUAGGAUGCUGGCGUAAUGGCUGUAAGCGGCCCGUCUUGAAACACGGACC
rnacentral:rRNA from 1 species